rnacentral:lncRNA from 1 species
GAAGUGGGAUGAAGGGGCCACUUUAAUUGCCUCAGGGAAUCUCGAAACCAAUUUUCAUUUGCCUCAUUGGUGCCCUUGAAUAAAAGAGAAUGGAGGUCGGUAGCAGAAAAGAAAAUCAAGGAAUCUUCAAAAAAUCACGCGCGAAAAGCAACACGAAAGUAGGAGGGAGUUUUUUUUACAAUAACAAUGCCACCAUUGUGUGCUGCGACUUCUUGAUGAUUUUAUUUCUUAAUCACGAUAGGUAACCCUCCCCCAAAGUCACCAUUUUGUAACCCAGGAGCAAAGUUAUACGGGGUCUGCCUACCCAAAACAUUAAAAAAAUUCAACUUCUUCGGAGUAAUCAGGUACGAUAAUGAAUCCACAGCCAUACACCGUUUGGGAUCAGGUGUUCUUUUGAUUUGCUUUUAUUUGAAUGAAACAAUGUUUCCUGCAUAAUAAUGACUUAAAACUGGUAAACAAGCCUGCAGAGAGCGCGGUGACUGGCUGCAGCUCGCGUCUCCACGACUCGUGCAGAAGGAAAAUGCGUUCUCCCCUCACUCCCCCGACCCUAAGCCGCCGGCCCCGCUGUGUAGCGAAGGAGCCAGAAGAGGUGCCUGGGGUGUUGAGACCCGGGGUCUGAACGGUGGAGAGUGUCCGGAGCCCACACUCCAGAUUCCUGGACGCCGCGGGAAAAGAGCCCGGGGCUUCAGCUUGGCGUCCCCAGUGGCUGGGGACUGGAGAGCUGGCGGGGCCGCAGACUCGGGCUAGAGUUUAAAGUGUGCCGCGCGGCGAGUCGCUGGAUGCUUCUGGGUCUCACGUGGCUCCGGUGUCACUUAGAGUGACAGGCCGGUGGAAGGCGCUUCUGUCGUCGCCAGGCGUUCUCCAAGGUGUAAGGAGGCAGGAUUUCCCCAUACUGGCGGCGCAGGGGUCCUCCCGGCCGCCAGCGCCCGCCCU